rnacentral:lncRNA from 1 species
ACGGCGCAGCGCGGCCGACGGCGGAGCAGCCCCCGAGGGUCCCCACGCCGAGGGGGAGACGGACCCCGUGGCCCCCCCAGAGCCCCCUGACGCCAAGUACCAGCAGCUCCUGUGCUUCCACACCUACGCCGAGCCCCGCGAGGUCCGAGCCCCCAGUGCCCCCCCUUCCCGCCAACUGGGAGACCCCAUCCCCUUCUACGCCAUGGGCCGGGGCUCCACCUCCGGCCCCGAGGAGAACAUCUACUCCGAGGUGGCCUCGGCCGGGCAGGAUCUGCCCCUUUCCUUCCCCAGGGGGUCCCCGGGGGCCUUUUCCACGCUGCCCCCCAAAUCCCACCCCCACCGGCGGCUCUUCCGCAGCGUCUCCAGCCAGGCCUUCAAGGGGAGGCACCUCCCAGCAGCUCCCACCACCUUGGGGAAGGAGAGAGGAGCCUCCAGCGCGGCCGAGGAGGGUGGGGGGGUCAACCCCUCACGGGAGUUUGAUGACCCCGUUUAUGGCCGGAGGAUGAGCAACACAGGGAGGAACGGGAGAGGGAGAGGGCAGGAAGGUCCCGAAAACAUCUACGAGCAGCUUUUGGGAGACCAGCCCUGAGGUGGGAAGGUCUUGGCCAAGACCCAAGCUCCCAGGAGGAACCUCCAUCAUCACCCGGAGAGGUCCAAGGCCACUAUCAGCCCCCCUCUGCAAACCACCAGUGGUACCAGCUCCAUACUGGGAUAUACUGGGAUUCCCACGCCCGGCCAGAGUUAAGAGGGGAAAGGCAUUUUAAUUUCUCUCCCAACACAUUUGGAAGGAGAUUUCUAUUAAUAGAACCAGGGCGGAAAAAGGCCAUUAGAGUAAAACCAGCUGGUUUUUUGGGGCACGGCCAGUGCAUCCAGCCAUUAAAUAGCCACAAACUGGGGUGAGGCCGCAGCCACACUGAGGAUCACGAGCCCCAGGGCAACAUCUCCCAGCCCUACCCCUUUCCUCGGCCAAAAAACACGAGAUCGGCACCAAAAACAAGGAUAAAAUUCAACCAUUGGGUCGGUGACAGUGAUCUCAGUGACACCUCCAAGUCCUGUCUGUUUUCUCAGCCAAAAACCA